GACGAACGCUGGCGGCGUGCUUAACACAUGCAAGUCGAACGGAAAGGCCCUGCUUUUGUGGGGUGCUCGAGUGGCGAACGGGUGAGUAACACGUGAGUAACCUGCCCUUGACUUUGGGAUAACUUCAGGAAACUGGGGCUAAUACCGGAUAGGAGCUCCUGCUGCAUGGUGGGGGUUGGAAAGUUUCGGCGGUUGGGGAUGGACUCGCGGCUUAUCAGCUUGUUGGUGGGGUAGUGGCUUACCAAGGCUUUGACGGGUAGCCGGCCUGAGAGGGUGACCGGCCACAUUGGGACUGAGAUACGGCCCAGACUCCUACGGGAGGCAGCAGUGGGGAAUAUUGCACAAUGGGCGGAAGCCUGAUGCAGCAACGCCGCGUGCGGGAUGACGGCCUUCGGGUUGCAAACCGCUUUCGCCUGUGACGAAGCGUGAGUGACGGUAAUGGGUGAAGAAGCACCGGCUAACUACGUG
rnacentral:rRNA from 1 species